rnacentral:hammerhead_ribozyme from 1 species
GCACUGCUGAGGAGUCCCACAACAGGACGAAACGGCCGUCGGUGU